AGGAGUGUAGCUCAGUCGGCAGAGCAGUAGUCUCCAAAACUAAAGGUCGAGGGUUCAAAUCCUUCCACUCCUGCCA
rnacentral:tRNA from 1 species